rnacentral:rRNA from 1 species
UACGAUGGAGGGCGAGCGUUGUCCGGAUUUAUUGGGCGUAAAGAGCGUGUAGGCGGCCAGGUAGGUGGGUUGUGAAAACUGGAGGCUCAACUGGGGGAGGUCACUCGAUACUGAUCGACUCGAAGGCAGAAGAGGGAAGCGGAAUUCCCGGUGUAGUGGUGAAAUGCGUAGAUAUCAGGAGGAACACCGGUGGCGAAGGCGGGUCUCUGGGCCGAUACUGACGCUGAGGAGCGAAAGCGUGGGGAGCGAACAGG